rnacentral:tRNA from 1 species
GGAAUGGUGCUCGAGUGGUUGAAGAGGCACGCCUGGAAAGCGUGUAUACGCCAAAAGCGUAUCGGGGGUUCGAAUCCCCCUCAUUCCG